AACCUAGCACACCUGCGGUGUGUACCUGCGGAAGGAUCAUUACACAAAUAACAUAUGAAGGCUUGUACGCGGCUGUGCCCUUCUGGGUGCAGCGUCUGCUGCGGCUGGAUUAUUUAUUUUCACCCUUGUCUUUUGCGCACUUGUUGUUUCCUGGGCGGGUUCGCCCGCCACCAGGACCACAUGAUAAACCUUUUUUAUGCAGUUGCAAUCAGCGUCAGUACAACAAAAUGUAAAUCAUUU
rnacentral:misc_RNA from 1 species